CCUACGGGAGGCAGCAGUGGGGAAUAUUGCACAAUGGGCGCAAGCCUGAUGCAGCAACGCCGCGUGAGGGACGAAGGCCUUCGGGUUGUAAACCUCUUUUAGUAGGGAAGAAGCGACUGGGUUUUCCUGGGAGUGACGGUACCUGCAGAAAAAUCACCGGCUAACUACGUGCCAGCAGCCGCGGUAAUACGUAGGGUGCAAGCGUUGUCCGGAAUUAUUGGGCGUAAAGAGCUCGUAGGCGGUUUGUCGCGUCUGCUGUGAAAACCCGAGGCUCAACCUCGGGCCUGCAGUGGGUACGGGCAGACUAGAGUGCGGUAGGGGAGAUUGGAAUUCCUGGUGUAGCGGUGGAAUGCGCAGAUAUCAGGAGGAACACCAAUGGCGAAGGCAGAUCUCUGGGCCGUAACUGACGCUGAGGAGCGAAAGCAUGGGGAGCGAACAGGAUUAGAUACCCUGGUAGUCCAUGCCGUAAACGUUGGGAACUAGAUGUGGGGACCAUUCCACGGUCUCCGUGUCGCAGCUAACGCAUUAAGUUCCCCGCCUGGGGAGUACGGCCGCAAGGCUAAAACUCAAAGGAAUUGACGGGGGCCCGCACAAGCGGCGGAGCAUGCGGAUUAAUUCGAUGCAACGCGAAGAACCUUACCAAGGCUUGACAUAUACCGGAAACGGCUGGAAACAGUCGCCCCGCAAGGUCGGUUUACAGGUGGUGCAUGGUUGUCGUCAGCUCGUGUCGUGAGAUGUUGGGUUAAGUCCCGCAA
rnacentral:rRNA from 1 species